rnacentral:rRNA from 1 species
CAAUAGCGUAUAUUAAAAUUGUUGCAGUUAAAAAGCUCGUAGUUGGAUUUCUGAUCGAGACAUCAGGUCGGGUCCGAGAGGAUCAUGUACUUUGAUUUUGUUUUGAUCAUCCUUGGGGAGAGCAUUUCUGGCAUUCAGUUGUCGGGAUUGGGAUCCUCAUCGUUUACUGUGAAAAAAUUAGAGUGUUCAAAGCAGGCCUCGGCCUCUGAAUACAUUAGCAUGGAAUAAUAAGAUAGGACUUUGGUGGUCUAUUUUGUUGGUUUGCACGCCAAAGUAAUGAUUAAUAGGGAUAGUUGGGGGUAUUCGUAUUCAAUUGUCAGAGGUGAAAUUCUUGGAUUUAUGGAAGACGAACUACUGCGAAAGCAUUUACCAAGGAUGUUUUCAUUAA